rnacentral:rRNA from 1 species
AUUGAACGCUGGCGGCAGGCCUAACACAUGCAAGUCGAGCGGAGCGGCGGACGGGUGAGUAAUGCCUAGGAAUCUGCCUGGUAGUGGGGGAUAACGUCCGGAAACGGGCGAUAAUACCGCAUACUAUCAGAUGAGCCUAGGUCGGAUUAGCUAGUUGGUGGGGUAAAGGCAUACCAAGGCGCCGAUCCGUAACUGGUCUGAGAGGAUGAUCAGUCACACGGUAACGUAGAAACGGUCCAGACUCCUCCGGGAGGCAGCAGUGGGGAAGAUUGGACAAGGGGCGAAAGCCUUAUCCAGCCAUGCCGCGUGUGUGAAGAAGGUCUUCGGAUUGUAAAGCACUGUAAGUUGGGAGGCGUUACCAACAGAGUAAGCACCUGCUAACUUCGGGCCAGCAGCCGCGGUAAUUC